UACAGAGGUGGCAAGCGUUGUUCGGAAUUACUGGGCGUAAAGGGCGCGUAGGCGGUCUUGUAAGUCUUGUGUGAAAUCCCUCGGCUCAACUGAGGAACUGCACGGGAUACUGCGAGACUUGAGUUCGGGAGAGGGAAGCGGAAUUCCGGGUGUAGCGGUGAAAUGCGUAGAUAUCGAGAGGAACACCUGCGGCGAAGGCGGGUUGCUGGGCUGACACUGACGCUGAGGCGCGAAAGCCAGGGGAGCGAACGGG
rnacentral:rRNA from 1 species